GACGAACGCUGGCGGCGUGCUUAACACAUGCAAGUCGAACGGAAAGGCCCUGCUUUUGUGGGGUGCUCGAGUGGCGAACGGGUGAGUAACACGUGAGUAACCUGCCCUUGACUUUGGGAUAACUUCAGAAAACUGGGGCUAAUACCGGAUAGGAGCUCCUGCUGCAUGGUGGGGGUUGGAAAGUUUCGGCGGUUGGGGAUGGACUCGCGGCUUAUCAGCUUGUUGGUGGGGUAGUGGCUUACCAAGGCUUUGACGGGUAGCCGGCCUGAGAGGGUGACCGGCCACAUUGGGACUGAGAAACGGCCCGGACUCCUACGGGGGGCAGCGGUGGGGAAUAUUGCACAAUGGGCGGAGGCCUGAUGCAGCAACGCCGCGUGCGGGAUGACGGCCUUCGGGUUGUAAACCGCUUUCGCCUGUGACGAAGCGUGGGUGACGGUAAUGGGUAAAGAAGCACCGGCUAACUACGU
rnacentral:rRNA from 1 species